GCGACGUAGCUCGUCCUGGCUCUCGUCGUGCUAGCGCGCCCCGACCGGCAUCGUCGGCGGGAACGAGGCCAAGGUCUCGCCCGAGGUCGCCCCGGAGGACACCCCCGAGCAUGGGCGUCGGGGGGAGGCCGAUGAGGAGAGGUGGUCCCGCCUGCUGCCGGAGCUGCUCAUGGACAUCGAGCGCCGCGUCGACACCGGUGCCGGGCGCUGGCCCCUGCACCGCGACGUCGUCGCCUGCACCUGCGUCUGCCGCCGCUGGCGCGACACCGCCAUCUUCCUCGCUCAAGCAGGUGAGUGACAGCAUUGGGGGGUGCUUGGUACUUGUGUUGAGUUGACCUGCAUUUCAUUUGCAGUUGUUGAUUGUGGAAAUGGUUCUGUAGUUCCAUUUCAGGCGGUCUCCUAGCCAGUAUAGAUAUGCUAGAUGCAAUUGCGGGAAUGAAUUGCUGCAGGUUCAGAGUGUUUUAUCAAAAAAAUGUUUAGAUUUUGUCUUCAAUACGAGUCCAGAUGCGUUGAGCGACUCACGUCUUGUGGGUCAACAAUCUUUGUUGCUCGUUUUUGGGACUAGUGAUAUCUUCAGAUAGUGUUUCAUGAAGGGAAUAGUCAAGCACAUGUUCAUCCAUGUUGCAUCAGCUUUUGAUUUUCAGGAUGUAGGCAACAAAAUUAGAGUUAUUUUUUUGUAGGCAACAUAGAGAAUGAUAAGUAGGCAAAAUACUGCAUAUAAUCUUAGCAUCUGUACUGCUUCAGUAGGAAAUACUGUAAUAUAUGUGUUCUUCUAGCUUUUUUUCAGCAUCUUUGUUCACAAGGGGUGCAGGCAGGCAAUAUAUGUUUUCAGCAGGCAAAACUAUAAUAAUAUGUGGGUUCAUAUUGGUAGCUAUUUAUCAACAACUGUUUUCUUUAGUAGGCAACAUAUUUUUUUAGUGGGCAAUACUGUAAUAUCCUACAGUUCGACAAGGUCCGCCUUCCCUUCCACUUCCACAUGCAUACAUCUGUGAACGCAACUCGUCAAUCGAAUUGAUGUCCUGCAACUGCAAUCAAUUAGCAGUAAGCAUCAUCUAGGUGUUUUGAUCCGGUGUGCCUAGUCUUCUUGUUGUUUCAGUCAGUGUGCCACGCGCUGGACAAGCAUGUCAAGAUCAGGGUCUACUUCAAGGUAUGUACCAACACUCUUCUACCUGGCACGCCAAUAGCUUUUUCAGUCUGCCCAACACCGUACCCAGCACCACUGUCAACAAAGACUGCUCCUUGGGGAUGAAGGGUAUCCAAAAUUCAUCUCUUCACCUGUAAUGUCUCGGUAGUUACUUGCCACUGCUGCUACAAAACUUAUGUUGUUGCUUUUUGGCCCGUUCCUUGCUAUCUGAAGUAUAUAUUUUUGUGUGUCGCUCAUUCGCUAUCUGAAGAAUUUUAUGUAAGUAGUCUUAAUGUGUGUUUAGCUUUCAGUUUUUACUCCUACUUCACAGAGUGGAAGAUUGUAAGAAAACAUUGGCUGAUCUUUAACAAUUAUUCUUAGAGUAACCCAGAGCAGUAUUCGAUGAUUAUAUUAUGAGUCACUGAAAAUGUAUACUGUUUUUUUCUUCAAGAUAUGGAUGACUAUCUGAAGGGAUGCAGGAUUCUUCCCAAACUUAACAACUGAGAUACUAGGUGAAAGAAAUGCUCCCUACAAGGAAAGGUUCAAAGAUUACAUGGUAGCAUAUAUACUUGAAGUUGGCAGGGAAUAUCAAAACUCAAAUACACAGGGGUGAUCGACGCGGACUACAACGACCUGGUGGGCGCCGUGCUCUUCAACCACUUGGAUUAUUGUCCAGGUGAUGUGACGCUGGAGGUCGCCGAGGUGGAGGACCUUGACACCGCCGUCUAGAGGUUGUCGAGGUGGAGGACCUCAACACCAUCGUCUGGAGGUUGCCAAGGUGAAGGACCUCGACGCUUUGGUAGAUACAUCUAGAGAAGUGGUCUGGUUAUGUUGGUGGUGGAAUGCUAGGGAAGGUACCCACCUUUCGGUGCUAGUUGUGUGCGUCGGAUGUAUAAGUGGGAUCUCGUGAUCUCUUCGAGUUGAGAGUUUAAUGUUGUAUCCAUGAACACUGCAAGUGCUAAGAAUGCAAGGGCUGAGAUGGUUCUGUUACCUU